rnacentral:rRNA from 1 species
AGUGAACGCUGGCGGUAGGCCUAACACAUGCAAGUCGAACGGCAGCACAGUAAGAGCUUGCUCUUACGGGUGGCGAGUGGCGGACGGGUGAGGAAUACAUCGGAAUCUACUUUUUCGUGGGGGAUAACGUAGGGAAACUUACGCUAAUACCGCAUACGACCUACGGGUGAAAGCAGGGGAUCUUCGGACCUUGCGCGAUUGAAUGAGCCGAUGUCGGAUUAGCUAGUUGGCGGGGUAAAGGCCCACCCAGGCGACGAUCCGUAGCUGGUCUGAGAGGAUGAUCAGCCACACUGGAACUGAGACACGGUCCAGACUCCUACGGGAGGCAGCAGUGUGGAAUAUUGGACAGUGGGCGCAAGCCUGAUCCAGCCGUACCGCGUGGGUGACGAAGGCCUUCGGGUUGUAAAGCCCUUUUGUUGGGAAAGAACAGCAGCAGGUUGAUACCCCGCUGUUCUGACGGUACCCAAAGAAUAAGCACCGGCUAACUUCGUG